UUCUUCUUCUACUUUUUCUUCUCCUUUUUUUAUCUCUGAAACAACCCACGACUGGGUACUAGGAAGCCAUUGCUGGAGUUUCCUUUGCCGCCAUGCGCCAGAGCUGGAGCACUAGUGGCCGGUGACAACCCCAUCCCCAAAAUCUCAGGGCCAUCAGAGUUAAGGCACACGAACAGAGGAGUCAAAGUUUAGUCGUCAAAACUUUGACUGCGCUUUCCGGCGAGCUCAGACCUCCGUUCGGUGAGUGGGUGGCACCGUUGGAACCAGCGUGAAUGGAGGAAUGUCGCCCACUAAGUCAUUUCGGUCAACUCAUUGUUUUUCUCCGACGAGAUUUUGGGUAUCUCCGCCACUUUUUGGCGACUUUUCGGUGAGCCUGAGAACUUUUUGGACCGAUGGUUGGCAUGAGCAUGAUCUACUCGCCGACGUGGUCGUUUUGAUAUAUGCCACGCCUACCUUCGUCAACGUUUCCGAUACACUGCUCACUGCCGCCACCAACCGCUGUUGUGCUUCGCUUGGGAAAAUCGUGAUAUAUAAAUCGAAUUAAAUCACUCUAGGAUCAUCAUUAAGCUUGGGAGUGUCGCUUUGGGCUCAGAUUGAAAAUUCUAAAGAGGAUCCUAGUGACGCAAUUGUGGAUAAGGUGAAUUAUUGAUGAAGCUAAUGUGUUUAGUGCCAUAGUCCUAUCUUUUGAACAUUAUAUGCAUUUAAUUUGGAACCUAUUGGUCUGUAUAUCUAAUUUUGCUAUGUAAUAGUUAUAAAUAAGGAAUGGUGGAUGCUAAGUAUUAUUUUGGGUGUUUUAUGACUUAUUAAA